rnacentral:rRNA from 1 species
UACGAAGGGGGCUAGCGUUGCUCGGAAUUACUGGGCGUAAAGCGCACGUAGGCGGUCUUUUAAGUCGGGGGUGAAAUCCUGGAGCUCAACUCCGAGAACUGCCUUCGAUACUGGAAGACUUGAGUCCGGGAGAGGUGAGUGGAACUGCGAGUGUAGAGGUGAAAUUCGUAGAUAUUCGCAAGAACACCAGUGGCGAAGGCGGCUCACUGGCCCGGUACUGACGCUGAGGUGCGAAAGCGUGGGGAGCAAACAGG